rnacentral:lncRNA from 1 species
CAGCUGAUUAUGGUCCAACACCAAACGUUGAGAAGCCUAAAUUUGAAGUAGAUAACAAACCAUAUUCUACAAAACCAAACUAUGAUGUUUCCAAACCUAAAAUAGGUUAUGAGUAUAAUCCAACUCUAGAGAUUGAGAAACCCAAAGCCGAUAUAGAUUAUAAAGUAAAUUUCACGGAACCAAACUAUAAAGUUCGCAAACCUAAAAUAAAUGAUAAAUAUGGUAUGGUUCCAAAAAUAGAGAAUUUUGAACUUGAAACAGAUUCCAAUCAACAUCUCGAAAAAUCGAACGAUGAAAAUCCCAAACCUGAAACAAAUAAUGGGUAUGGUCCAUUACCAAAGAUCGAGAAACCUAUAUCAGAAGCGGUCUACAAACUAAACCACACAAAAUCAAACAAUGAAGUUCCCAAACCCAAAACUCAUUUUGCUUAUACUCCAACCCCAAAGAACGGGAAACCCAAAUCCGAUGCAGUUUACACAUCAAACACCACAAACUCAUAUUAUGAAGUUCCAAAACCCAAAUUUUUUUAUGGAUAUGUUCCAACCCCAGAAAAAAUUGAGAAACCUAAGUCCGAAGUAGUUUACACACCAAAUACCACAAACCCAGACUAUGAUGUUCCCAAACCUAAAACAUAUUAUGGAUGUGGUCCAACCCUAAAGAUUGAGAAACCCAAGUCCGAAGCAGUUUACAAAUCAAAUCACACAAAAUCAGAAUAUAAAUUACCAAAACCUAAACAAAAUUAUGGCUAUAUUCCAGCGAUUGAGAAAUCCAAACUUGAACCAGAUUAUAAUUUAAACCCCACAAAACCAUAUUAUGAAGUUCUCAAAACAAAAGAAAGCUACAAAGUGCAACUUCCCACAUCCAUCGGUGUCCAAGGAAUAGUUUUCUGUAAAUCAGGCUCAAAUUAUUACCCAAUUCAAGGUAAAUUUUCAUUGAUCUAAUAAAAAAAAGUGAAAUGCAAAACAAAAACCUAUCUCGCUAAUUUUUUUUUGCUACAUUUUCUAUGUCUUGCAUGUAUGAAAUUAAAACCAAUUAAUUUAUAUUAGUUUGAACUUUAAAUUGAUGAUAUAUUAUUAGUUAUAUAUUUAGCAUGUGUGAGGGGUGCAGGGGCUGUGGCACGAGUUACAUGUAGAUGUGUGAAUGAGCUUGGAAAUGAGACAAACCCUAUAUCAGUAUUCAGUCAUGCAACAAAUGGUAAAGGUUAUUAUUUUGCUACAUUGUCACAUGCAAAGCUUGGAUCAAAAUUGAAGAUUAAUGAGUGCAAAGCAUACCUAGAGAGUUCUCCAUUAAAUAUUUGUAAAGUUCCCACCAAUGUGAACCAUGGGAUUAGUGGUGCUCCUCUUUCUUCUUAUCGUCUUCUUGAAAAUAAUUUUAGAUUGUACUCUUUGCCACCUUUCUUCUACACCUCUCAAGCUAAACCAAUCCUUAAUGUGCAUGACCAUUGGUUUGUCAAAUAGAGUGGAAUAAAAUUCUAUGUAUGGCUACAAAUAUAAAGAAGAAUGGAUUCUUGACUAUAUUUUUUAUUUGUUAAUUUGUGGACUUAAUUCGUAUGUAAUUGAUAAUUUGAUAUAUAAAUAAAAUCAAGGUUUGUCAUGAGUCAAAAACUUUAUUUAUUUCUUCAUAUUUCUGUAUAUACACUUGCCUAUUUUUGUUUUUUUUUUUUGGGUGAGCUGAGAACAUUCACUUUUAAUUAAUUGUUGAUUUAACCCUGAUUUAAACAUAAAAUUAUUCAAACAACAACGUUGAGGACUUUGAUCUUAGAAUUAUUAAAUUCAAAACUCUACACUUUAUUGGUACAUCUCAAUAUUUAUGACAUGUAUUAUUAUAGUAAUAUUUAUCGAUAUCAGUCACAUAUAUCGAUAAAUAUUAUGGUAAUACAUGUCAUUAAUAUAAUGUAACUGACUUGUGAAUAAUACAAGUGUAGGAUCUAGUUUUAUAAAGAAUGCAUAGUAAUGGCAGUUUUUUUAUUUAAAAAAGAAUCAUAUGAGAAACUUCCAAAUGCUUCAACAUCUCAACUUGCUACUAGUACAAAAACUGAUUUUUAACAUGUUUUUAAGGUCAUAAGUCUAUUUCUUAACCGGUGUAAGAUCUUCCGUUUUAAUAUAUGAAAUUUUUUAGGACGAUUUUUCAACUGGAUUAAAAUAAUAUGGUUCAAUCCGGUUGAGAAUUGAGAUAAACAUUCAUCUUAACAUUUUUAUCAUCAACGCAAUAUUGUGUUACAUUUUAAGUUGGUUGUGAGAAACAAAUAUAAACUUCGUGUUACAUUAUUUUAUGUCGCCUUUUGCCAAAAACCAGAGAGAAUUGAGAUAUAAUACCAAGGCUAAAGUAUACUUUUUAUUCUCUCUAUAAUUUACAAAAUGUUUGUUAUGAUCUUUUAUCGUCUUUUUUAUUCAUUUUAGUCCUUUAUCUUUCUUUUACCGAAUUGACUGGCAUCAAUUAAUAUCAUUGGUUUAAUUAAGACAAUAGGUUUGAGAUUUAGGGAGGUUUCUUUGGCACGACUCCCUUGGACUGACCAUGAAUUGCAAAGUAGUGAAUUUUUAUUGAAUGUUAUUGUAAAACUAAUUCACAUUGAUAGUGCAUACCUUUUUAACUCGUAUAAUUUCUGUCUUUAAAAAAAAGUUUAAUGAUAACCGAGUACUCUAAAUAUUAUGAAGGUUAUCUCACACGAAAUGCAAGAAAGCAAUACAUCUCAAUUUUGAAAAAGGGAUGUGUGAUUAGUUUUUUUUUUUGUUUUGUUUUGUUUUGUUUAGUAGCUUAGUGGUUGGAGCACAUAAUUAAAUGCAGAGAAGUGGGGUGUCCGAGGUUCGAACCCCGGUCCACUACAUAAAUUAUGCAAUGUCUCUACCAACUAAACUCACAGAGAUUGAUUAGUUUUGUUUUUGACGAAAAUCAUAGUGCGAUAUACAUUUAAAGUAUUCGCCUUGUAUCUUCUUAUAUUGUCGCGUUCUAAGUUAUCUUAAAAAAAAUUGGAGAAGAGAAAAUUAUUAUUAAUAGCAGUGCUAACCAUUUUACAAUAGUCCCAAAUAAGAUUUAAAAUAUAUCUCUUGAGAUUAUAUAGUCAAGUUUUGAUAAUAAAUUGACACUUCUUAUGAGUCUUCUCAAUUUGAAUCUUGAAACUUUAACUUCUUUAAUCUCUUUUCCCAAUCCGAGGGAGAUAUCAAUCUCAAGAAGGUUAAUGAUUUGUAUUCCAAUUUCAUCAAAUAUAAUUUUAAUUAUGAUUUUUUACCAUGUAAAAAUUUGCAAUCGCAUUUUUUUCACAAAAGAAUAAAAUGUGUAUCGGGCUUAAAAUGAGUUAAAUUUAAAUUAGGUGUUGUGAGAUGAAUAACUCGGAAUUAAUUAUUCUUAAUUUAUGGUGUCAAAUUACAAAAGUGAAUUCAAGUUGCUUAUAUUUCUAUUACGCUAAAUAGUCAUAGUAAUUUGGAGUUUUAUUUAAGGAAUUGUUUUGCUCAAUAAUCAAACUCAAAUUCUUCUAAACGAUUGUUUUUUUUGAUAGAGUCAUUAACCGCUUGUUUACUAUACGUUGAAUGGUUGAAAAUAUAUGUUAGCUAGCUGGCCAUGUAGUAGAGAUAUGAUCCAAUAUUCAUAGAAAAAAGAAGAUUUAAUCCAAUAAUUAUUUAGGACAUGCAAUUCAGGGUUUUAUCGUGCAUCCAUGUCAUAUCCUACAUCUUAUAAUUAUUAUUAUUAUUAUUGUAGGGACGUGUGCAUUGAUGAAAAAUUCAAAGUUAGUAAUUUAAUAAGUGACCAAAUAUGCUCUAAGUGUGUGUUUUUAGAUAGCAAUACAUGUUCUCCACUCACUAGGUAGGUGAAUGAUCUCUAGUCAUGUAUUUUCUUGCAAGGAAACAACACUCUACAAAUGAAAGACUCCCCUCCUUAUAUUUACCUAGAGCUUUAUUAUUCAUAAGCCACGACGUGCAACCAAUUAUCUUGGUCCAUCCAAUUAUUCAUAUACUCCAUAAUGCAGUAUGUAUUUAUGUUACACAAACACUAUGCUCUAUAAAUAGCCUUGAUAUUCAGGGUAUUCUACCUUACCACUGCUUUGAAGCAUUUACCACCCUUUUUCUGAAACAUUACAAAGAAACUAACUUAUGAUGGCUUCUCAUAGAUCCAUUUUCGCUAUCUCUAUCCUUCUUUUUGCGUUGCUAGCCAUAGCCUCCGCAACUGAUUAUGUGUAUGGUCCAGCACCAAACACUGAGAAGUCUGAACCCGAAAUCGAAGUAGAUAAGAAGUCAUACUCUACAAAAUCAGACUAUGAAGUUUCCAAAUCCAAAACAAAUUAUGAGUAUAGUCCAACUCCAAAGGUUGAGAAAUCCAAACUCGAUAUAGAUUACGAAGUACAUUUAAUAAAACCAAACUAUAAAGUUCCCAAACCCAAAGUAAAUUAUAGAUAUGAUCCCGUUCCAGAGAUAGAGAGACCUGAACCAGAAACAUAUUACAAACACCUCACCAAACCAAACUACGAAGUUCCCAAACCUGAAAUAGAUUAUGGGUAUAGUCCAACUCCAAAGGUUGAGAAGCCUAAGUCCGAAGAAGUUUACACAUCAAACCCCACAAAACCGGACUAUGAAGUUCCCAAAACCAAAAUAGAUUAUGGCUAUGCACCGGCUCCCAAGAUUGAGAAACCCAAGUCCGAAGCUGUUUACACACCAAACCCCACAAAACCGGACUAUGGAGUUCCCAAACCUAAAACAACCUAUGAAUAUGCCCCUGCCCCCAAGAUUGAGAAACCAAAGUCCGAAGCAAUUUACACACCAAACCCAACAAAACCAAACUAUGAAGUUCCCAAACCCAAAACAAAUUAUGAGUAUGCCCCAGCUCCCAAGAUUGAGAAACCAAAGUCUGAAGUAGUUCACACACCAAACCCCACAAAACCUGACUAUGAAGUUCCCAAAUCCAAAACUGAUUAUGGGUAUGCCCCGACCCCCAAAAUCGAGAAAUCCAAGUCUGAAGCAGUCUACACACCAAACCCCACAAAAUCAGACUAUGAAGUUCCCAAAACCAAAACAGAUUAUGAGUAUGCCCCAGCCCCCAAGAUUGAGAAACCAAAGUCUGAAGUAGUUUACACACGAAACCCCACAAAACCUGACUAUGAAGUUCCCAAAUCCAAAACUGAUUAUGGGUAUGCCCCGACCCCCAAAAUCGAGAAAUCCAAGUCUGAAGCAGUCUACACACCAAACCCCACAAAAUCAGACUAUGAAGUUCCCAAAACCAAAAUAGAUUAUGAGUAUGCCCCAGCCCCCAAGAUCGAGAAACCAAAGUCUGAAGCAGUUUACACACCAAAAUCCACAAAACCAGACUAUGAAGUUCCCAAAACAAAUUAUAACUAUGCCCCAGCACCAAAAAUUGAGAAACCCAGACUUGAUACAAAUUAUAAACUACUCCCCACAAAACCAGAUUAUGAAGUUCCAAAACCAAAAGAAAACUACGAAGUGCAACUGCCCACAAUCAUUAGUGUUCAA